rnacentral:rRNA from 1 species
CAAGUCGAACGCGAAAGGCCCCUUCGGGGGCCGAGUAGAGUGGCGCACGGGUGAGUAACACGUAGGUAAUCUACCUCUGGGUGGGGAAUAACAGUCGGAAACGGCUGCUAAUACCGCAUAAUGCAGCGGCACCACAUGGUGACAGUUGUUAAAGCGGGGGAUCGUAAGACCUCGCGCCUAGAGAUGAGCCUGCGGCAGAUUAGCUAGUUGGCAGGGUAACGGCCUACCAAGGCUUCGAUCUGUAGCCGGCCUGAGAGGGCGGACGGCCACACUGGCACUGACAUACGGGCCAGACUCCUACGGGAGGCAGCAGUCGGGAAUUUUGGGCAAUGGGCGAAAGCCUGACCCAGCAACGCCGCGUGAAGGAUGAAGCUUCUCGGAGUGUAAACUUCAUAAGAAUGGGACGAAUAAGGAGGGGUUAACACCCCCUUUGAUGACGGUACCAUUUGUAAGCUCCGGCUAACUCCGUGCCAGCAGCCGCGGUAAUACGGGGGGAGCAAGCGUUGUUCGGAUUUACUGGGCGUAAAGGGCGCGUAGGCGGCGUGACAAGUCACUUGUGAAAUCUCCGGGCUUAACCCGGAGCGGCCAAGUGAUACUGUCGUGCUAGAGUGCGGAAGGGGCUACUGGAAUUCUCGGUGUAGCGGUGAAAUGCGUAGAUAUCGAGAGGAACACCUGCGGCGAAGGCGGGUAGCUGGGCCGACACUGACGCUGAGGCGCGAAAGCCAGGGGAGCGAACGGGAUUAGAUACCCCGGUAGUCCUGGCCUUAAACGAUGGAUACUUGGUGUCCGGGGUUACAUAGUCCCCGGGUGCCGGCGCUAACGCAUUAAGUAUCCCGCCUGGGGAGUACGG